AAUGAACGCUGGCGGCGUGCCUAACACAUGCAAGUCGGAUGUGCCGCAAGGUGCAUGGCAGACGGGUGAGUAACGCGUAGGGAAUCUACCUUUUUGUGGGGAAUAACGCUCCGAAAGGAGUGGUAAUACCGCAUGAGACCGUGAGCUGGGAUGUUCACGGUGAAACCUGGGGACCGCAAGGCCUGGGGCAAAAAGAGGAUCCUGCGUCUGAUUAGCUAGUUGGCGGGGUAAUGGCCCACCAAGGCGACGAUCAGUAGCCGGCCUGAGAGGGUGAUCGGCCACACUGGAACUGAGACACGGUCCAGACUCCUACGGGAGGCAGCAGUGGGGAAUUUUGCGCAAUGGACGAAAGUCUGACGCAGCAACGCCGCGUGGGUGAUGAAGGUCUUCGGACUGUAAAACCCUGUCGUCAGGGACGAAGGUGGCAGCGUUAAUAGCGCUGUUACUUGACGGUACCUGGAGAGGAAGCCCCGGCUAACUCUGUG
rnacentral:rRNA from 1 species